rnacentral:rRNA from 1 species
UACGUAGGGGGCAAGCGUUAUCCGGAUUUACUGGGUGUAAAGGGAGCGUAGACGGUUAUGUAAGUCUGGAGUGAAAGCCCGGGGCCCAACCCCGGGACUGCUUUGGAAACUGCCCUGCUGGAGUGCCGGAGGGGCAGGCGGAAUUCCUAGUGUAGCGGUGAAAUGCGUAGAUAUUAGGAGGAACACCAGUGGCGAAGGCGGCCUGCUGGACGGUGACUGACGCUGAGGCUCGAAAGCGUGGGGAGCAAACAGG